CCGCAGGCCCACGCCGUAAACAGACAAGAUGGCGGCAGCGGCGGCGGCGGCGCCUGGGGCCUUGGGCACCUUGCAGGCCGGCCGCGCUCGCUUGGUGGCCGCUUGCUGUGCGCGGCUUGGCCCCGGGUGGAGGCUGCCUGGCUCCGUGACUGGCCCGCGCGUCGCUCCGGCGGUCUGGGCCCGGGGCUGGACGCCCGCGGCCGGAGGAGGCUCGGCCCCGCGGAGGGGCUACAGCUCCGAGGUGAAGACGGAGGACGAGUUGCGGGUGCGGUACCUGGAGGAGGAGAACCGAGGAAUUGUGGUGCUUGGAAUAAACAGAGCUUAUGCCAAAAAUACAUUCAGUAAAAGUCUGGUAAAAAUGCUCUCAAAAGCUGUGGAUGCUUUAAAAUCUGAUAAGAAAGUGCGGACCAUAAUAGUCCGGAGUGAAGUCCCAGGAAUAUUCUGUGCUGGUGCUGACCUUAAGGAGAGAGUCAAAAUGAAUCCCAGUGAAGUUGGUCCUUUUGUCUCCAAAAUAAGAGCAGUGAUUGAUGAAAUUGCUAAUCUUCCAGUGCCAACAAUUGCAGCAAUAGAUGGACUUGCUUUGGGUGGUGGCCUUGAACUGGCACUAGCAUGUGAUAUACGUGUAGCAGCUUCCUCUGCAAAAAUGGGCUUGGUUGAAACAAAGUUGGCAAUUAUUCCUGGUGGAGACUGGAGGAUGAUUUUGAAGUUUUGGAAAAUACCGUGUGAAUGUGCCCUGGAAAAACUGCUUUCGGUAAAGUACAGGGGGGACGCAGCGCCUGCCACGUGCUAUUGGGAUGUCCCUUGCCAAAGAGCUCAUCUUCUCUGCACGUGUGCUCGAUGGUCAAGAGGCCAAAGCUGUGGGCUUGAUCAGCCAUGUUCUAGAACAGAACCAGGAGGGGGAUGCUGCCUACCGAAAGGCCUUGGACCUAGCAAGAGAGUUUUUACCUCAGGGACCCGUUGCAGUGAGAGUGGCAAAAUUAGCAAUUAAUCAAGGGAUGGAGGUUGAUUUAGUAACAGGAUUAGCCAUAGAAGAAGCUUGUUAUGCUCAGACUAUUCCAACAAAAGACAGACUUGAAGGUCUUCUUGCUUUUAAAGAGAAAAGACCCCCUCGCUAUAAAGGAGAAUAGAAGACACAGAAAUCUUUCCAAUGCCAGUGUAAUAAAUAUACUUCUGGAAGUAUCUUUCAGAUCCACGUAUGCCUCCGCACCUGGAAUCCCAAUAACCAAAGUGAAGAGCGAGUUCUCUGUAUAGUGAAUUGAGCAUCUGGAGUGGACCCCUCUGUGUACUUUGUUCAAACGUGCAUCACAUCAUAUCCAUUCAGAUUUAUAAAGCUAGUAGUGUAUACUGUCAAAAACAGAUUCAAACUUACAUACACAUUUUUAAAUAUUUCCUGCAUACGAGGCUUUCUGUUCUUAAUUUUUUAAUGUGAAUAAUUUAUAUAUUGCACACUCUAGGAAAUAAUAUUGAUUGUAUGUCUACUGUGCUGCGAUAACGAAAUAAAAUUAUUUCUAUAUACCAAAAAUGUGAAGUUAUACCAAAUAAAGUUUCUAAGGGAUCAUACAUACGUCCAUAUAUACAUACAUCUCAAACUGAAGAAGGAACUGAUAGAUUCUCUGAGUGAAAAUUACCAAAUACAAAUAAAAUUGGUGAAAAGAAAA